GACGUAGGGCGCGAGCGUUGUCCGGAUUUAUUGGGCGUAAAGAGCUCGUAGGCGGCUUGUCGCGUCGACUGUGAAAACCCAUGGCUCAACCAUGUGGUCUGCAGUCGAUACGGGCAGGCUAGAAUUCGGUAGGGGAGACUGGAAUUCCUGGUGUAGCGGUGAAAUGCGCAGAUAUCAGGAGGAACACCGGUGGCGAAGGCGGGUCUCUGGGCCGAUAUUGACGCUGAGGAGCGAAAGCGUGGGGAGCGAACAGG
rnacentral:rRNA from 1 species